rnacentral:rRNA from 1 species
GACGGGACCCGCACAAGCGGUGGAGCAUGUGGUUAAUUCGACGCAACGCGAAGAAUCUUACCAGGGCUUGACAUCCCCUGACCGCGUAUGAAAGUACGUUUUCACCCUCGGGUGACAGGGAGACAGGUGGUGCAUGGUUGUCGUCAGCUCGUGUCGUGAGAUGUUGGGUUAAGUCCCGCAACGAGCGCAACCCCUACGUUUAGUUGCUAACGCGUGAAGGCGAGCACUCUAGACGAACUGCCGUUGACAAAACGGAGGAAGGUGGGAUGACGUCAAAUCAUCAUGCCCCUUAUGUUCUGGGCUACACACGUGCUACAAUGGCCGGUACAGACGGACGCAAAGCCGCGAGGUGGAGCAAAUCCUAAAAAGCCGGUCUCAGUUCGGAUUGCAGGCUGCAAUUCGCCUGCAUGAAGUCGGAAUCGCUAGUAAUCGCAGGUCAGCAUACUGCGGUGAAUACGUUCCCGGGCCUU